rnacentral:rRNA from 1 species
AUUGAACGCUGGCGGCAUGCCUUACACAUGCAAGUCGAACGGUAACAGGUCUUCGGAUGCUGACGAGUGGCGAACGGGUGAGUAAUACAUCGGAACGUGCCCAGACGUGGGGGAUAACGAGGCGAAAGCUUUGCUAAUACCGCAUACGAUCUAAGGAUGAAAGCAGGGGACCGCAAGGCCUUGCGCGUUUGGAGCGGCCGAUGGCAGAUUAGGUAGUUGGUGGGAUAAAAGCUUACCAAGCCGACGAUCUGUAGCUGGUCUGAGAGGACGACCAGCCACACUGGGACUGAGACACGGCCCAGACUCCUACGGGAGGCAGCAGUGGGGAAUUUUGGACAAUGGGCGAAAGCCUGAUCCAGCAAUGCCGCGUGCAGGAUGAAGGCCUUCGGGUUGUAAACUGCUUUUGUACGGAACGAAAAGGCUCUGGCUACUACCUGGGGCACAUGACGGUACCGUAAGAAUAAGCACCGGCUAACUACGUG